UGUUAGGAGUGUUUGUGAAGGGGAAAUCAAGGCAUGGAAGGUUUAUCAUAGAAGGGGCUGGAGAUCGACGAUCACGAUUGAGUCGUUAUAUUAUUAGUUGUUGUGUGUGUUGUAUGUGAUUUAAUUUAAUUUGUGAACUUUUCUUCUUCUUUUUUUUCCCCUCACUUGAGGGAAAUGUUAUGUUGUAAGACCAAGGGCGUUUGUGUAUUUUAUCUUGUCAUAUGGUGGAGCUUAUAUAUAUGGUUCCCCUCCCCCUUGUACUUGGUUGAUGAUUAUUUUGAAUGAAUUCUGAUUUCAGCCCUAUUCUCUUGUGUGAGAGUGAGUGUGGUAGAGUGGUGAAGCCUUGGAGAAGGCAAAUGAAGUACCCAACUACCUAUUAAGGUGAGCUCUUGGUUUCCCCCUUGUAUCUCUUCCCCUUUUCCUCCUUCCUCACUAGCCGUUGGUCAGCCCUCUCAUCUUUCCCUCUCUCAGCCAACCACCCCUUCCCCUUCCACCGCUCAUGGAAAGCCCACCACCACCACCACCUCCUCAUCCAAGUCCCCAAUCCAAAAUUUCGAAAUAUGAAAAUUUGACCUUUUGGGAUUCCAAUUGGUUGGAAUUCUGAAUUCAGGAGUUACUCCUCUCCUUUACAUUUUUAAAAUUAGUUGGGAAUUUAAAAAGCCACAACCCCUUCCCUUUCCCAUGGUUGUCCCUCUCUUGGAACUCUCUAUGUUAAUUAAUGGGAAGUUGACCCAUUACACUUUAACUUUCCCCCUUUUCAAAACUACUUUUCCAUUUUCCAACCCCACUUUCUCCCAUUCUCCUAAGCCCCACCAAUCUAAUUAACCUCACAACAUCCCUAAUCUCCCCCAAAUAGCAAAAACCGUGGCCUCCCUCCUUCCAAAUUUUGGCCAGCAUCUCUUCUUUUCCAUUGUGAAGCAAGACACAAGGAAGGCACUGCAAAGCAACCCUUUGAAGUUCAAUCGGCCGAGACCACACCAUGUCUGAAGGAAGCUUCCCUGCGACGCAAAUAGCUAAGUCUUUCUACUCUUACUUCAUACACUUAAGUAGAUAUCUUUGAAGUCCAAUUUUCUGUGGCAUCACUAUUUUCAUGUUAAUUUAAAUUUGCUUGCUUCUUAAAUCAUUGAGUGCAUGGUUCUUGUAGUGACUAAUCUAUGUUAAAUGUUGGAUCUUUUUUUUUUGCCAACCCAUGUUAGCUAAGUUAUUGAUUUGAUUUAUCAUUAUUGAAUUUUAGAACUUUGGUUAUGAUUAAUUGCCAUUUGUGGAUUACCUUUCUUACUUGUUUUGAAUCUUAUUUAUGCAUCAUCAUGAUUAAUAGCUUGCUGAUUUUAAAUUCAACUUAUGUUUAAUUUCAUAAUGCAAGUUUUCACAUGCUAGUCCUACAUUAGUUUGCCUUAAGUUAUAGAUGCUUGAUAUUGAUGCAAAAUAGAUCCACUUCCUCUGCUUAUUCCUCUUUGUUGCUUUAGUAGUGGAGGUUCCAUGGUUCUUGCAAUUCUUCUCCAGCUACCAUUUGAUGCAAUUUUUGCUUUGGUUGUGGAGGUUCCAUUGUUCUUACAAUUCUUCUCUAGCAAUCGUUCGGUCGUGAUUUUCCUUUUGCGCCUAUGAUUCACAAGGCUCCUACCAAUCUUCUUUCCUCUGAUCCUUUCUCUUACUUUUUCAAUUCAAUGGCUUCCUUGAUUUUGUGAUUGGAUGUGACUGCCGUUGCAAUUACAGAUGCAAUACUGGUGGAAUAAACACUUCUAUUACAACGGGUUUGUGGCGGGAUUUUUGGUGCGGUAUUACUUUCCUUUUUUUAUGGGUUUGCAUGGCUUUGAACAUUAUAAGAAAUUCAUGGAUAUUUUUUAAUAAACAGGAAUUUUGUCUUAUAGAAAUGGUAUUCCACUUUGGUUCAAAAUAAUUUUAUUUUUGCAUAGUUGGAUAUGCUUUUCUUUCUAUUUUUUCUUCUUGAUCAAUUAGGACUGAAAAUUUUUUUAGGAGGUGUUAUCUCCUUACACUUGUGAGAUUCUUGAUUUGGUGUCUUUUUGUUCUUUUUCUUAAUUUUUUUUUCUUAAACUUGUUAUUUGUUCACAUGCAUUAUUAUUUUUAUUCAAGUUAGAUAUCAUAUGAGUUUUAUAAGAGAGCGUGAUUUUGUUAACGUAUGAGUUAUGGCUUUUGAAGUUUUGUAUGCUUCUUCCAUGAUUUAGUGCAUCUUGUUUUAGAUUUACAUUAGAAACUUAGAUCUUGAUGUAGGCAUGAUUUUAGGUUUCACCCUAACCUAUGCGGUUGCCCCUUCGGUUUCUAUGUUGUUGUGUGCUGCUUCGAAUUCCCCCUGGCAAAUGUCCCACAGUUUUCUGUGUCCUUGGCUGCUGUGUGUUGCUUCGGAUUCCCCUCUUGGCAGCUAUCCCUUGAGUUUUGUUGAUGUUUUUCUGUGUUCCUAUUGGCUGAAUGGAUGGUGCUUUUUUUUGCUGCAUGUAAUGUCUUUUCUCUAUAUAGAGACUGUUUUCCUGAGUUAAAAAAGAGUUUUUUGGGUGAAAAUGUUUGGAAUGUAAAAACCUGUUGUUUUUUUAAGUUGCGAGGUAGUCUCCUUUUCGCUUCUCCUCUUAAAAUUCGUCUUGGUCUUCUAACUUCUUCUUGUCUAUCCAUGGUUCCCGCCUCACUUGUAUCCUUAUUCUCAAAAAUAUAUAUAAGUUUUAUGGUUUAUGUUUAAGGAAGACAUUUAUUUGUUUGCAAUCCUAUAAUUUAUUUUUGUGUUAUUUGAUUGCAUCAAUUUGGUAUCAGAGCCUUAGGUUUUAGUGUGUCUUCCUUUCUUUUCUUUAGAAAAAUUUUUAAAAAAAGGACAAUCAUGAUGUAAUAGAAUAUGUUGUUGACGAAAAUCAGCCAACUAUUCUUGAAGACAAAAUUCUAACAAGUAGAUAGAUCCUGUCUCAAGGAAGUUCUACAGAUCCAAUCCAGAAUGAGCUAUACAAAAUUCAGGUGAAAAUAAAUUUGUGUGCUGAAAGAUAUGAAGUUAAGAAGCGCCAACUUCAUUUCGAGUUUGAACAAGAAAAGAAUAAGAUCAGAAGGAAGUUUGAAUCUUUAAUUCAGGAAACAGGAGUGACGCCUUCAGAACAUCUUGUAGGUCUUGAAUCUAUCUCAUCAUGAGAUGAGAUUUAUCCACCAAGGGAGAAUUGAUAAAGGCAAGAUUUCAGGUUUCCUCCUUCCCUAUGUGUCUGCCCCUUCGGUUUUUGUGUUGCUGUGUGCUGCUUCGAAUUCCCCCUGGCAACUGUUCACAGUUUUCUGUAUCCUUGGCUGUUGUGUGUUGCUUCGAAUUCCUCUCUUGGCAGCUGCCCCUUGGAUUUUGCUGAUGUUUUCCUGUGUUCCUAUUGGCUGAAUGGAUGGUGCUUUAUUUCCUGCAUUUAAUGCCAUUUCUCUAUAUAUAAGGACCGUUUUCCUAAGUUAAAAAAGAGUUUUUUUUUUUUUUUGUGAAAAUGUUUGGAAUGUAAAAAUCUGUGGGGUUUUUAAAGCUUGCGAGCUAGUCUUCUUUCCCCUUCUCCUCUUAAAAUUAGUCUUGGUCUUCUAAUCUCUUCUUCUCUAUCCUUGGUUCCCACCUCACUUGUAUCCUUCUAAAAAAUAUAUAUAAGUUUUAUGGUUUAUGUUUAAGGAAGACGUUUAGUUGUUUGCAAUCCUAUAAUUUGUUUGUGUGUUAUUUGAUUGCAUCAAACCUUAAGACAUUUUGCAGGCUUAGUUUUGCCUAAUAACAUCUUCUGGAUGUAAAUAUAAUAUCUUAGCAAAGUAACAGCACAACAAAAUAUUUAAUUUAAAUAAAAUCAAUUAAAAAACUCUAAGCAGUUCCAACAUUACUUAUGAGAUUACUAAUUGCAUUUCUACAUUUGGCCAAACAUAUUAUCCAAGAUAUUUAAAAUUGGAUAGAUAAAUUAGAGAUUAUUUUUAAAUAUAAUGUCUAAUUCUCAAAAGAUUGAAUAAUUAAUAUAAAAUUAAUGGUACGUACUCAAUUAUUUUGUCAAAGUGUUACACUUAUUAUUAAAAAAUAUACAUGAUUUGAAAUAGAAACUUCAAUAAUAAUGUUUUUUCCAUUCAAUGAUUAUACAAAUAAAUUGUAUGCUCAAUUUUAAAAAUUUAAUCGCCGUUAAUAUAUUGUGUUUGGAGAUUGAAGAUCUUGUCAUCGAACAUGAUUUGUUUAUAGAUCAUUUUGCCCUUUAAAUAAGAAAAUUGUCCACAAAAGCCCAAGUGGCCAUAGAGCAAUUAUGAAGAGUCAAAUCAUCUCAUAAUUGAUUUAACUUGGGCCCAUUGUCAAGUAUUUUUAAGUUCAUUUUUAUUUAUGGCAGAAAUUUUCUUACAUUUUAGUUUGAAUUGUUUUAAUUUGUUUUUUUUAAUAUUUGUUUGGAUGACAUUAUGUUCAAAUUUGAAUGUUUGUUAGUAUUGAAUUUGCUAUUAAAAUUUUCCCUAUUCUUUGUAAUCCUAUUUCUAUAAAUAGGAACCCAUGAUGUAAUUAAUUUUUGAUUGAUGGUGAAUGAAUUUUGAUUAUUUGUAAUGCCAAUUGAGUGCUUCUAUGGUCCAAGUUGUGUAUAGGGAUUGAUCAAAGUUGAUGCAGGCAGAGCCGGCCUAUUGGUGUUCCCCAUGCUGAAUUUAAUACCCAAAAGGUUUUCCCCUCCUGGUAGCUGCACUUUCGGUUUCCCCUUUGAUAGCCAUGAGAUGCUUCGUUUUUCCCACCCUUGGCAGCUGAAAUGAUUCUUCGGUUUCCCUUUGGUGGCUGUCCCUUUGGUCCCUAUUUGCUGGAGUUUUCUAGGUGUUCCUAUUUGUUGUUUGAGAGUCGCAUUAACUGCAUGUAUUAAUUAUUAUUUUUUCCAUUUUUCCCCUAUAAAUGGGGAUGUUUGUGGCAGUUUUAGAAGCAUAGAUAUGUAAUGAUUUUUGGAAUAUAAAUUGCGGGUUUGUUCUAGCUUGCGAGCUAGCCUCCUUUCCCCUUCCCUUUUAUUACUUCGUCUUGGUUUUCUACCUCUUCUUCUCUAUCCAUGGUUCUUGCUCCAUUUGUAUUUUUCAUCUCUUAAUUAAUAGAAAGUGUAAGUUGUUGUAUUCUAGUA